GACGAACGCUGGCGGCGUGCUUAACACAUGCAAGUCGAACUGAAAGGCCCCCUUGUGGGGUACUCGAGUGGCGAACGGGUGAGUAACACGUGAGUAACCUACCCUUGACUUUGGGAUAACUUCAGGAAACUGGGGCUAAUACCGGAUAGGAGCUCCUGCUGCAUGGUGGGGGUUGGAAAGUUUCGGCGGUUGGGGAUGGACUCGCGGCUUAUCAGCUUGUUGGUGGGGUAGUGGCUCACCAAGGCUUUGACGGGUAGCCGGCCUGAGGGGGUGACCGGCCACAUUGGGACUGAGAUACGGCCCAGACUCCUACGGGAGGCAGCAGUGGGGAAUAUUGCACAAUGGGCGGAAGCCUGAUGCAGCAACGCCGCGUGCGGGAUGACGGCCUUCGGGUUGUAAACCGCUUUCGCCUGUGACGAAGCGUGAGUGACGGUAAUGGGUAAAGAAGCACCGGCUAACUACGUG
rnacentral:rRNA from 1 species